UAGAUAUUUAAAUAGAUUAAGUAGGUCCACGCCUGAACUUCGAAUGAGCGGUUUAUUCGAAUUAUUCAUCCAUACAGAACAUCGUAUUGAUAGGUAUUGGGAAGUCGAUACAAUAUCCAAUCCGAAAAUCGUCUAGACCGACACCGGGAAUCGAACCCAGCCACCCUCAGCAUGGUUUUGCUUUGUAGCUGCGCGUCUUACCGCACGGCUAAGGAGGGCCCCUUUAAUUUAUUGAUAUAUAUUGCGACCUCAACAAUAAGGCCGUUUUCAAUGCCUUGUACUCGAAUCAUAUACAAAGAAGAAGAAAGGGGGUUGUAUAGUGAAUAUUUCGGACAAUAAAAAAA